rnacentral:piRNA from 1 species
GNGAAGCAGGAUGUCCAGGAUCGUG